rnacentral:pre_miRNA from 1 species
AACAACUCUAGUUGUCCAGUGUUUGAUUUGUAAAACUGUUUCAGGUAAAGGACAAACUGGAGGCAAGGGACAGGACAA